UACAGAGGGUGCGAGCGUUGUCCGGAAUCACUGGGCGUAAAGGGCGCGUAGGUGGCGCGACAAGUCAGUGGUGAAAGUUCGACGCUCAACGUCGAAUCGGCCACUGAUACUGUUGGGCUUGAGCACUGUAGAGGCUAAUGGAAUUCCGGGUGUAGCGGUGGAAUGCGUAGAGAUCCGGAAGAACACCGGUGGCGAAGGCGGUUAGCUGGGCCGACACUGACGCUGAGGCGCGAAAGCUAGGGGAGCAAACGGG
rnacentral:rRNA from 1 species